GCCCUCUUGGGUGCCGGGUCCUGGUGGAACACAACGUCGCCCUCUCUUCAUCCUGGUCUCCCCCUUCUCCUGCGCCCCUCAGGCCCUUGCCUGCCUGUGGUGGCCUUUAUGUCCCAGCGCUCCUCCUCCCGAGGCUCCUGGCCCGUGGCGCAGUAACCUCUCCAGUCGCGCAUUUUCACGGUGAUCGUGGGACGUUCGCGCCUCUCUUUCACCCUGAGCUCAGUGACUGCCAGGACUUGAGUCUCAUUCCGCACGCGGGUCUUUAUCGUGGGGAUGCCAUGCGCUUUGUCUUGUCUCUUCAAAGGUCCAAGGGCACACGAGGCUGUGGACCUCUCCCCACACUGCCGCAGGCGCUGCGGGUGUCAUGUCUGGAGGGUACUUCAUGCCUGGCAGCCCGAGAACCCCAUGCUGCACUCCACCUAAACACCGCCUUCCAGGGGACCACACCAGCCAUACCACGUGCCUUCUCCACUGCUUCCACACUGCUGGACUGAACAGUAGCUUCUUCAGGGAUUGUGGGAGGACACAGGACUGUCCUGUGACAGCAGAAUUGGUCACCACAGCAAGUCAGCUGCUGUCCCGUUGGAGGACCACAGGACCAGGAUGUCCAGUGAAAUCCUCCUAAAUCCUUUUAAGGAAUCCCUCUCUGCAGUCCCUCCUUCCUGUGGAGCCUUCCAGAUCCUCAGCUCUCCCUGCUUCCAUCACCCUCCUAAGAAGCAUCACUGCCCAAGCUGUCCUGCAGAGAAGGAUGCUGCUGCCGCUGCUGCUGCUGGAGAAGGCUUUCUGGAGAGAUGAGGGCCAGCAGGCUUGCUGAGCUCGGUGUGACCUGCAGGGAACAGGCACACACUUGAUCGGCAGACGGCUAUGGCACAAAUCCCUGUCUUAUUUGUCUCUCCUGGGUUAAGUUUUAAUAAUUCUGAAAUUGAUUGCCAACAUUUAAAAGACCGAGGUUUCAUAUGACAUUUUUUUUUCUUUUGAAAAGCUGGCAGCUCUGGCGAGCAUUCUUUGUUGUUUUUAUUCAUUGGAGAAAGGGCUUCUUGUGACUCAAGCUGGCCCUGAACUUGCUAUGUAGCUAAGGAUGACCUCGAACUUCAGGUCCUUCCGUCAUCCGCCUCCAAGUGCUGGAUCACAGGUGUGCACCAUUAUCAUAAUGCUUGUUUUUAAAAUGUAAUUAAAAAAAUGACUAUUGGGACGGGGUUUCUUGAAGGCCAGGCUGACCUUGAACUUGACACACGUCUGAGGUAGAACUUGAACUCUUGGCCCUCUUGCCUCCCUAGCCAGCAUCUUUAAGGAAGCAAUACUAGUGUGGUUUGUUUCUCAGCCUACUUUGAAGUUACUGCCCCGCCUCCAGGAGCCAGAGCUGGUAUAGGUCAUCUUGGCAGAUCUAGAGUCCCAUGGUAGAUGGCAAAGCCAGAGCCGAAGUCAGGCCAAACUAACCCCCCCAAACCUUAACUCACACUGAAAACCAAACAGCACUCCCCUCCAGGCUCGGGACAUGCAUGCCUCAGAGCGUGCCUUAAAAGGUUGCUGCUGUCAGCGGGUUAAGAAUGUUUUCCUUCUUAGCCACUAGCCAUUGUCAGCAGUCACCAAGUCUGGGCUGUUUUUCCAAAGCAGCAAGGGUUAUCGACAGCUGUCUGAAGUUCUUAUCCGUCCUCUGCCUGAGAUGAAAAGACUUAGAUUACACUUGUGAGUUCUAAGAGGCUGGAGCCCAAGACCCCGAAGGUCUAAUUUGGGAACGUGAGGGGUGCAGCUUGCUGUAAGGGAACAACUGUCUGCUGAGGCGAGCCAGGGAGAAGGACAAGGUUCCUUUCGCUCUGGGAGACUCUGUCCUCUGGUCACUCUGUCCCCUUUCUGCGCUUCUGAUUCUUGACAGCCCUGUUCCUCUACCCUAAGUCAUCAUCCCACAGAUUUCCUUUGUCAUCUUGAGACCUCUUCAUGCAGGCCAGGUGUAGGUGUGGGCAGUGUGUGAGGAUACGUCCCUUAAGGACAUGCCUUUACUUAGUUAUUGAAAACUUGACAUUUAGCUCAUCAUGGAUUAUUUUCCGACAUUAAUUUUGAUAUUUUAAAAUAUUGUAUCUGGUGGAUAGUGGUGGCACACACUUUUAAUCUCAGCACUCAGGAGGCAGAGGCAGGCAGAUCUCUGAGUUUGAGGCCAGCCUGGUCUAAAGAGUGAGUUCCAGGACAGUCAGGGCUACACAGAGAAAUCCUGCUCUGGAAAAACAAACAAAUGAAAAAUUGUAUCGAGAUGUUAUUGAUUCUCCUUAAUGAGUUCUUUCAAAGAUACUACAAGGUUACUUUUUCUCCUUGCUUCAUCCCAGCUCUAGCCUGGAGUCUUCUUUUUUUUUUUUUUCCCUUGAGCCCUGGCUGGCUUGGAGCUUCCUACGUAGACCAGCCUGCCCUGGAACUCACAGAGAUCUGUUUGCUUCAGUCUCUGAAGUCCUGAGAUUAAGGUGGGUACCACCAUGCCUAGGCCCUUUUUCAUACACACACACGUAUAUACACGUGUGUGUGUGUAUAUAUACAUAUAUAUGUACAUAUAUAUAUGUAUGGCUUAUGGGUCAAGAGCACUGGCUACUCUGGCAGAGGACUGGGUUCAGUUCCCAGCACCCACAUGGUGGCUUACAACCAGUUAUAACUCCAGUUUCAGGAAAUCUGAUGCCUUCUUUAGGCCUCAGCAGGUGCAGCAUGCACAUGGCACACAG